ensembl:rRNA 5S_rRNA 5S ribosomal RNA
CGAAACGGCCAUACCACCCUGAUCACGCCCGUUCUCGUCUGGUCUCUGAAAGCUAAGCAGGGUCAGGCCUGGUUAGUACUUGGAUGGGUGACCGCCUGGGAAUACCAGGUGCUGUAAGUG